rnacentral:pre_miRNA from 1 species
AAGAUGUUGUACCGAUACUUGGUCGACAAUCUAAUAUUAUCGGUUCUGCCAGAAGAUAGUAUUAGUUGUGCGACCAGGAGACGGUAUUUAACAUCAA